UACGAAGGGGGCUAGCGUUGCUCGGAAUUACUGGGCGUAAAGCGCACGUAGGCGGCUUUCUAAGUCGGGGGUGAAAUCCUGGAGCUCAACUCUGGAACUGCCUUUGAUACUGGGUGUCUUGAGUCCGGGAGAGGUGAGUGGAACUGCGAGUGUAGAGGUGAAAUUCGUAGAUAUUCGCAAGAACACCAGUGGCGAAGGCGGCUCACUGGCCCGGUACUGACGCUGAGAAGCGAAAGCAUGGGGAGCGAACAGG
rnacentral:rRNA from 1 species